GUCUUAAUUAAGGGAGCCCCGAGACCUUACUCUUUCACUUUACCUAGGAGUUUGGUUCCUAAACUCACCAUUCAAAUCCAGCAACAGAACUGAUUGAAAGGAACCUUUGUCUUUUGUGUGAAUGCUCAUGAGGGGCCAUCCUUACAGUGGAAACGCUCCUGAGGCUCCAGCGAAUCAAGACUCUCAGACCCCCGGGCUGUCCCCACCCCAUGACCACAUGUUCCACAGGCACCCUCAGCACUGUGCCCUGCGUGUCACCCAGGCAGGUGUUUGUUUUCGAGCGCAGAUUCUGCCUGUGGCCAUAGCCAUGUGGAGAUGUUCACGCAUGUACUUCCCUUUGUGAUUUCAGCCGAUACGGAAGAUGUGUGCAUCGUAGAGAGAUUGUUCUCCAGCAGCCUAGUGGCCAUUGUGAGCCUUAAAGCACCAAGGAAGCUAAAGGUUUGCCACUUUAAGAAGGGAACUGAGAUCUGCAACUACAGCUACUCCAACACGAUUCUGGCUGUGAAGCUCAACAGGCAGAGGCUGAUAGUAUGCCUGGAGGAGUCCCUGUACAUUCACAACAUUCGGGACAUGAAGGUGCUGCAUACGAUCAGGGAGACGCCUCCAAACCCUGCAGGCCUGUGUGCGCUGUCAAUCAACAACGACAACUGCUACUUGGCGUACCCAGGGAGCGCGACCAUCGGAGAGGUGCAGGUCUUCGAUACCAUUAAUUUGGUGAGAUGCCUUUCCUGCUCGAAUAGCUCUCUAAAGUGUGGCUUUUUCUUGAAGAGGAGCACUGUGGUGUCCCUGGCAUCCUGACUUGGCUCAGCAAUACAACCGCUGCACUUUUUUUUUGAGACAGGGUCUUGCUCUGUCGCCCAUGCUGGAGUGCAGUGGUGCAGUCCUAGCUCACUGCAGCCUCAACCUCCCGGGCUCAAGUGAUCCUCCUGCCUCAGCCUCCCAAGGAGUUACAGUCAUGCAACACCACACCCAACUAAUUUUUUAUUUUUGUAGAGAUGGAGUCUUGCUGGGUUGCCGAGGCUGGCCUCAAACUCCUGGCCUCAAGCCAUCCUCCCGCCUUGGCCCCCUAAAGUGCUGGGAUUACAGGCGGGUGCCCCGCGCCCAGCCCCGCUACUCUCUUCUCAGUAGCAGAGCAGGUCUGGCUCAUUCUGCUUCUGGAUCUGCUGCAGCGUUCAGACCAGUGCUGAGCUCCUCGCCAUGGGAAUGUUUGAAGGAACAUAGAAAACCUUAGGGAUAAACUGCUUUGCUUUUUCUAAAUUUGGAGCAGCAUUUCCUUGGAUGCCCAGCCCCAGUAAAUCAAGUGGGUUUGGCAUUUGUUUGGACCGUAAUGGUGUUUUAGGAAUAGCUAAUUGGCACUUGCGGACCAAGUGCCAGCCCUGGGGCGUGGGCGGUCACUGUGCGGCGGCCACGCUUUAUUGGUGUCCCUUUUUCAGAGAGCUGCAAACAUGAUUCCGGCUCACGACAGUCCUUUAGCGGCAUUGGCCUUUGACGCAAGUGGAACUAAACUUGCCACGGCUUCGGAGAAGGUGAGUCUGCUUUUCCCUGGGGGAGCGCUGGUGCCAAGGCGUCCAGAGACUUUUUCAGUUCUGUUCACACAGCCAGCUUAGAGGCAAGGUCUUAUACUUACCAGCUCCGGGAGAAGCGAAGACAGCCACCCGCUUGUCAGGCCAUGGGCUCGUGCUGCCCGAGAGUGAGCGGAGCUUGCGGUGUGUCACUGGGACGGGAGAGCUGGUCCACGUUUGUAGUAGAAAAUACAGAAAUGUCCAGAGGAGACGAAGUGCCGUGUGUAACCACGCCGCUCACCCAGUGUGUUUCUAAAUGAUGAAACUAACACGUAACAGUAAAGAACCCAGACAGUGAUAAAACGUGAAAAAGCAAGGCCAGAAUUCUAUCCAGCCCGUCUGAACACAUUUCAGUGUAUUUCCUUUCAUUUUCUCUUUAGUCAACAAAAUUGGGAUCUUACUAUGGGUAUAAUUUAUCCUUUUUCACUCUGCAUGACAUUUGUCUAAGUUCAAAAACACUUGUAAUGGCCGUGCAGUAUUUAGUUGUGAUUUAUGUCAACAUCACCCUUUUGGGACUUUGUUUCUAAUAUGUUGCUGCCGUAGGUAGUAGUGUAUUUAAGUCAUGUAUCAAUCUUUUAUAUGUAUUUCUAACUAUGAAUUCAAGAGAUUCCAGUAAGAAGAAUGUCUGGCUUUAAAGGAGAUGGCCUCUAAAUGUCCCCGUAUACCUGUGACCGCGUGGCGAGGCUCCCUGGCCCCCAGGAGACUGAAGGCUCCUCGUUCUCUUCCUCACUUGGACUGUGCCUCUCUUUUCGUUUCAGUUCCUCUUUUCUUGAAAGUUCCGUCUUCUCUUCUUCUGUCUUGAGGUCGCGUCUGCUCUCCCGCCUCCGUUGUCUCCUCUGGAUGCCAGUCUGCUCUUCAUUGCCCACCGAUGACCUUUACUUUGAUUUGGAUAUGAUUUUGCUUCUCAUUGAAAUCCUAAAAUAGCCUCCCCUUUCAAGCCAUCUCUCCCCUCAAACUAUCGACCAGAGAAGAUACAAUAAAACGUCGGCUCACUUCCUUA
rnacentral:sRNA from 1 species